UACGUAGGGGGCAAGCGUUGUCCGGAUUUAUUGGGCGUAAAGAGCGUGUAGGCGGUUAGGUAGGUCCGUUGUGAAAACUCGAGGCUCAACCUCGAGACGCCGAUGGAAACCAUCUAACUAGAGUCCGGAAGAGGAGAGUGGAAUUCCUGGUGUAGCGGUGAAAUGCGCAGAUAUCAGGAAGAACACCCGUGGCUAAGGCGGCUCUCUAGUACGGUACCGACGCUGAGACGCGAAAGCGUGGGGAGCGAACAGG
rnacentral:rRNA from 1 species